CUUAAUUUGCAGGUCCCUCCGUGUCAAGAACGGCCCAUUUUAAGUUGUAUUCUGAACAAGGACACUCUCAAAUUUCUUUAAGAAGAAAUGGUCAUGCUUUUUUUCGUUCUAUGUUCGAAGACACGAGGGGUCAACCAAACAAGGAUAUGGAGAGGGACCCUGUUGAUUUUACUUUGCCUUUGAUCAAGAAGCUAGACAAGCCCAUUAUUUUUGACAACGUUGAAGAAGUUGAAGAUCAAAACUUGGAUUUGAACUUGAAGCUUUAGAAUAUGAUCCUACAAGUUAUGUUGGUCUUUUCCUUUUGUUUGUGUUUUAGAUGUUUCUUCUUGUAAUAUCCCUCACCUCCCACCCCACCCCUACCACCGCCACCGUCCCUCUCCAUCCUACCCCACACUUCCCCUACCCCUCGCUUCCUUUGGUUUUCUUUUUGAUAUUAGAAUCGAAUGUCUUCAAAGUUGGUUUUCAUCAAUUUAAAACUUCUAAAAAUAUUUUUUUUAUUACUCUUCUCUUUAUCAAUGAUAUUUUAAUUGGAGGGUUUCUCCAUUCUCAACACUCAAACACGAGACCUCUAAUUUAUGAUUGAGGGAUUAAAUCCAUCUCUCUCCUUCCAGAUCUCAUUUUGAAUAUAUUUGGCAUCAUUAUCUGAUUAAUUUAAUUUUGUGUUGUACUAUAGUGUUUGUUGAAGAGGAAAGCUCUCAUGAUCAAAGGAGUUUUCUAUUCUCAAUGGUCGAAUAUGAAAUUUCUAACUAAGAAUAAAGAAAUCACAUUCAUUCUACCACACCCCUUAGUGGUAUUUUUGUUUCUAGGAAUAUAUAAGAAUAUAUAAGGUGAUGUGACAUUUUUUUAUGACAAACCAUGUUUUUCUGGUCUUUUAUCUUCUAAUUUUACUAAAACAAGAUCAUACGUUAGAGGUUGUUGUCAAAAAGCCCCUCAACUUAGCAAUAUAAUAAUUUUUUUUAAUAUAUAGAAGUGGCUUGGCAAGCACCUCUCGGUUUUCUUGCCAGCUUACCACCAAGAGCUUCUUUGUCAUUUUAACUAGAACUUUAUAAUAUGUGUUAGAUCGUUGUGACACCUGCUGCACGUAGCAAUCUGAACACAGCUUCAUGCUGAUCAGAGCAUUCAAACUCCACUGAGCUUCUUCUUCAUCUCAGAAUGUUGUAAGAUUCAAUUAAUCUUGAGGUACCAGAUUUGUGUUACUGUUGCAAAUUUUGUCAUUUGAGAACUUCAAGGACUCCAUCAAAUCCAUGUCGUAGAUUUUUUGAAUGUAAAGUUUCAAAGGAAAAUGAUGAAUGUGGCUACUUUAGAUGGAUUGAUCCAAAAUUUUUGAUUGUUGAGCAUCAAUCUCUUGGGAUGGAAUCAAGCUUAAUGAAUAGAUUUAAAGAUGGUGAAAAUUUGUGUGAUCGACCCAAGGAAAAGCUCAAAGAGGUUGAAGAAGAGAGGGACACUUUGUGUGAGAAGUUGAAAGAUAGUGAAGAAAAAUUGAUUGCAUUGAAGCAAAAAUUCAAAAAAAUUAAACUUGAUAAGGAAUGUGCAAAUCUCAAAUUUAAUAGACUUUUACUGCUUCUUCUCUGUGUUCUUACUGUAAAGUGUUUCUUUCCUAUGGUGUAAGCUAGUAGUUAAGCUUGGGUACUGAAUAAUUAAUUGGGUAUUGAUUAGUUUAUCCUAGUUAGUAUAUAGUGGAGUUGU